AUGUGUGUGUGUGGAUGGGGGCUGCCUGGGCAGGGGGCGGCCGUGCAGGGGCAGGGGGUUGAGGCCCCUCGUACAGCCAGGGCUUGCCCUCACUGGUCACCUGAGGGGGCAAGGCACAAGCGUGGGCUUCUUGGUGGCCUCUUGGGGCCAGGCUGGCCUGGGAUACCCCCACCCCCAUCCAUCCUGGUGGGAGGAGGGACAGUGACCCUGGCCCGCAGGGGCAGGAACAGCCCCUCCCUCUGGUGGGGUUCCCACUUCCUCAGCGCUUCUGCGGGGCCUUGGGGCCCGGGCCUGGGUGGGAUGGGCUGGCGGGCGGCCGCUGGCCUCCCCGGCUUCCUUGUGGAGGAGGAAGGACAGGACAGGAGGAGCAGAAGGCGGGCUCGCAGGGGGCUCUGGGUAAGCCUGGGCAGCUCUCUGGAGCCCUGGGACAAUCUGGGGGGGUGCUGCUUCGGUUGGGGGGCAGCCCGGAGAGGGCCAGGCCGUUUCUGUACAAAGAGCACCCCCCGCAGCAGGGGACGGGGCCUGGAAUCCCCCUCCCAGCCUGCAGUGGGCAGGGGAGGGGCAGACAGGGCCAGAGACGGGGGAGUCCCCGGGCCGUCCCCUGACCCCCUACCCCGCCGCCUGCCAGGCUGGGCCUUGGUGCCUCCCACUGUCUCCGGGCUGGCCCUGUGCCCGCCCCUCCUGCCCCCUCCCGGCCCCCUCGUCUGCCCCCCCACCUCCCGAGUCUGGCUGCCUUUGGAUAUGGGGCCCUGGGGACCAGCAGGCCCAGCGGGGGCAGGGGCCCUCCUGCCUGCCUGCCGCGGGGUCCAGGGCGCUCCCCUCGACCUCAGACCCAGGUCUGAGUGGCCCAGCCCCACUCCCCUGCUGCCCCUGCCGCCUGGAGCCCUGGGAAGCGGAGGGAGUGUGGUGGGAGCCAAAGUCUGGGCGGGGGAUCCUUCUGGGGCUGCCCCGCCCCGCCUCCCUCGGCACAGAGCGGCCUUGACGCGGGAGGGAGGCGGGCAGCCAGCGGGGAUAAAGCUGGGCGGGGGCGCUGCGCCCCGGGACUCCGACUCCCCGACAGGAAGGGAAGGCGGACGGUGCCUGCUGCUGACCAGCCGGGGAUUUAUGGAGAGGGCCUCGGGGGGCAGCUCCGGAUACUGCCGGGCCCAACAUCACUGCCACGCCAGCUGCUGA
rnacentral:lncRNA from 1 species